rnacentral:rRNA from 1 species
UACGUAGGGCGCAAGCGUUAUCCGGAAUUAUUGGGCGUAAAGAGCUCGUAGGCGGUUUGUCGCGUCUGCCGUGAAAGACCGGGGCUCAACUCCGGUUCUGCAGUGGGUACGGGCAGACUAGAGUGCAGUAGGGGAGACUGGAAUUCCUGGUGUAGCGGUGAAAUGCGCAGAUAUCAGGAGGAACACCGAUGGCGAAGGCAGGUCUCUGGGCUGUAACUGACGCUGAGGAGCGAAAGCAUGGGGGAGCGAACAGG